CCCUUAGAUGUUCUGGGCCGCACGCGCGCUACACUGACGAAGUCAGCGAGCAUGUCCUACGCCGACAGGUGCGGGGAAUCUUGUCAAACUUCGUCGUGAUGGGGAUUGAUUAUUGAAAUUCUUGAUCAUCAACGAGGAAUUCCUAGUAAGCGCAAGUCAGCAGCUUGCGUUGAUUACGUCCCUGCCCUUUGUACACACCGCCCGUCGCUACUACCGAUUGAAUGUUUUAGUGAGAUCUUCGGAUUGGCGCCACUGCGGCUCAGCAAUGGGCUCGGUGGAUGCCGAAAAGUUGAUCAAACUUGAUCAUUUAGAGGAAGUAAAAGUCGUAACA
rnacentral:rRNA from 1 species